rnacentral:rRNA from 1 species
GACGAACGCUGGCGGCGUGCUUAACACAUGCAAGUCGAACGGUAAGGCCCUUCGGGGUACACGAGUGGCGAACGGGUGAGUAACACGUGGGUGAUCUGCCCUGCACUUCGGGAUAAGCCUGGGAAACUGGGUCUAAUACCGGAUAGGACCACUGCCUGCAUGGGUGGUGGUGGAAAGCUUUUGCGGUGUGGGAUGGGCCCGGGGCCUAUCAGCUUGUUGGUGGGGUGAUGGCCUACCAAGGCGACGACGGGUGGCCGGCCUGAGAGGGUGACCGGCCACACUGGGACUGAGAUACGGCCCAGACUCCUACGGGAGGCAGCAGUGGGGAAUAUUGCACAAUGGGCGCAAGCCUGAUGCGGCGACGCCGCGUGAGGGAUGACGGCCUUCGGGUUGUAAACCUCUUUCAGCACCGACGAAGCGCAAGCGACGGUAGGUGCAGAAGAAGGACCGGCCAACUACGUGCCAGCCGCCGCGGUAA